UUUUAUUUGAGAGUUUGAUCCUGGCUCAGGAUGAACGCUGGCGGCGUGCCUAACACAUGCAAGUUGAGCGAUUUACUUCGGUAAAGAGCGGCGGACGGGUGAGUAACGCGUGGGUAACCUCCCCUGUACACACGGAUAACAUACCGAAAGGUAUGCUAAUACGGGAUAAUAUAUUUGAGAGGCAUCUCUUGAAUAUCAAAGGUGAGCCAGUACAGGAUGGACCCGCGUCUGAUUAGCUAGUUGGUAAGGUAACGGCUUACCAAGGCGACGAUCAGUAGCCGACCUGAGAGGGUGAUCGGCCACA
rnacentral:rRNA from 1 species